GCCGAAUAGAAAAUCCGCCAAAGGGAUAAGCUUGCGUCCACUCUUUUUCAUGUGCGGUUCCACGAUGGGGAAUUUUCUAAUCGCCGUCGUUAUCCAAUUUGGCUCUGCCUUUACAAAUCAAUCGAUUCUUUCUGCUUCCACCGCCCAGCGCCCAUCAUAGCCGCCGAGACAUCGAGGACUUGCAACCCGUGAGCGCUGACUUGCCUCGCGAUGGGGUUCGCCGCUGUGCGCUGGACGCCGCCUGAGGAACUGCGCCGCAUCCCCAUGGAGGGCUGCAACCUCGCGCCGCUGCGCCCUGCUGCCGGCCGGGAGGGCAAGGCCCUGCCGUCGUGCUCGAUGGGUGCCAUGCCUUGGAUGCUGCGGGGUGGCCGUGGCUACCAGCGUAUAUCGAUGCCGCGAAUCGCGACGCGGCGAUCCGUGUCGGGUGGAUCCGCCGAUGCCUCUGAAGCGCCGGGAGGAGCACCAUCAAGGCCGAGGGCCCUCGCGUCCUCGGCGCCGAAUAGCGUCGCUGCCACGGCUGUGCGUCAUGGUCUCGCCGUUGGGGCGAGCAUGGCGUCGUCGGUCCUCUUCUCUUGUUCUUCUUCCAUUCCUUUUCGCUUGUUGCGUGGCCUAAUGCUCUCGGUAGAGGCGUGCGUGAUAACGUGUAAAAGAGGAAAAAAGGAAGAGAGAGAGGGAACGAACGAUUGGAAUGAACAGUUAUCCUAUUGAUUGAAGAUUGGGGUAUUUAUACCCAGUUUACAAGGCGGUUACAAAAAGGAGGCAGUUGCCAAAAGUGGCACCGACAUAGCAG
rnacentral:rRNA from 1 species